rnacentral:rRNA from 1 species
GCAUCUGACGUAUUCGGAACGGAUAUUCCCUACGGGGCAGAUGUGUAGGUGCUGCAUGGUUGUCGUCAGCUCGUGCCGUGAGGUGUCGGCUUAAGUGCCAUAACGAGCGCAACCCUCAUCGUCAGUUACCAUCAGGUAAAGCUGGGGACUCUGGCGAGACUGCCAUCGUAAGAUGCGAGGAAGGUGGGGAUGACGUCAAAUCAGCACGGCCCUUACGUCCGGGGCGACACACGUGUUACAAUGGGUGGUACAAAGGGCAGCUACCUGGCGACAGGAUGCUAAUCUCCAAAACCACUCUCAGUUCGGAUCGGAGUCUGCAACUCGACUCCGUGAAGCUGGAUUCGCUAGUAAUCGCGCAUCAGCCACGGCGCGGUGAAUACGUUCCCGGGCCUU